rnacentral:snRNA from 1 species
GCACACGGCCUAGCAUAUAUAUUAAAAUUGGAUGAUACAAAAUAGAUUAGCAUGCCUCCUGUGAAAGGAUGACAUGCUGAAAUGGAAAUUCGUGCUCCAUAUUUUU